rnacentral:tRNA from 1 species
GUUUUAAUAGUUUAAACAAAAUAUUGGUCUUGUAAACCAAAGAUAAAGAUAUUUUUAAAACU